rnacentral:rRNA from 1 species
CCUACGGGUGGCAGCAGUGAGGAAUAUUGGUCAAUUGGCGCGAGCCUGAACCAGCCAAGUCGCGUGAAGGAUGACUGCCCUACUGGUUGUAAACUUCUUUUAUAAAGGAAUAAAGUGAGCCACGUGUUCCUUUUUGUAUUUACUUUAUGAAUAAGGAUCGUCUAACUCCGUGCCAGCAGCCGCGGUAAUACGGAGGGUCCGAGCGUUAUCCGGAUUUAUUGGGUUUAAAGGGAGCGUAGAUGGGUUGUUAAGUCAGUUGUGAAAGUUUGCGGCUCAACCGUAAAAGUGCAAUUGAUACUGGCAGUCUUGAGUACAGUUGAGGUAGGCGGAAUUCGUGGUGUAGCGGUGAAAUGCUUAGAUAUCACGAAGAACUCCGAUAGCGAAGGCAGCUUACUAAACUGCGACUGACAUUGAGGCUCGAAAGUGUGGGUAUCAAACAGGAUUAGAUACCCGGGUAGUC